rnacentral:rRNA from 1 species
UACGGAGGGUGCAAGCGUUAUCCGGAUUCACUGGGUUUAAAGGGUGCGUAGGCGGAUUGGUAAGUCCGUGGUGAAAUCUCUAAGCUUAACUUGGAAACUGCCAUGGAUACUAUUAGUCUUGAAUAUUGUGGAGGUUAGCGGAAUAUGUCAUGUAGCGGUGAAAUGCAUAGAUAUGACAUAGAACACCAAUUGCGAAGGCAGCUGGCUACACAAAUAUUGACGCUGAUGCACGGAAGCGUGGGGAUCAAACAGG